rnacentral:lncRNA from 1 species
AGAGAAAUGACAAUAGGUGUUGACAGUUGAGGAUCCCCUAAUGAAAGAGCCAUGUCUGUGUCUAAUCACUACAGGCAUAUCGCUACCUGGAUGUCUUUGUUCAGCCUGCUAUAUGAAAAAAAAAAAAAAUACCAUAGAUUGGGUGGUUUAAAAAACAAACAUUUAUUUCUCACAGCUCUGGAGGCUGGAAAGUCCAAGAUUAAGGUACCAGUAGAUCUGAUGUCCGGUGAGGGCCCUCUCCUUGGUUUGGAGAUGGAUGCCUUCUCGCUGUCUUCACAUUGCAGGGAGAGAGACAGAGGGAGAGAAAGAGAGAGAAGAGAGAGAGAUGGGACAGGUGAGAGAAAGAGGAGAGCAAGCACGGAAAGCUUUUUCAUGUCCCUUCUUAUAAGGGCACUAAUUUUAUCAUCAGGGCUCUAUCCUCAUGACUUAAUUACCUCCCAAAGGCCCAUCUCCAACUCCAAGUUCCAUCAUAUUUGAGAUAAAGGUUUGAACAUAUGAAUUUUGCGGGGACACAACCAUGCAGUUCAUAACAUUUGACAUGUCCUAUCAGUGCUCACAGAACUUGAAUCAGCUUUUUUAAGUAUUACUUAUUUAUUUAGAGAUGGUAACUUGCUAUGUUGUCCAGAUUGGUCUCAAACUCCUGGACUCAAGUGAUCCUCCCACCUCAGCCUCCCAAGUCACUGGGAUUAUAGACAUGAACCACCUCAUCUGGUUUCAAUCAACUUUUUUGUUCUUACCCAUAAAUAUAAAUGGACAGCACAGGACAACCAGACAUUUGAGAAAAACCACUAGCAAGAGCAACCAAAAUUAAACAUCAACAAACAAGCAAUAUAACAAAACUCAGAGGAAAUAAAUCACUGAUCGCUACCAGGAACAGAAGAGAUUAAAUGAUAAAUCAUGGAAUAAGGACAGGAUGCUCUAAAAAAGGAAUAUUUAAAGCUCUUGAAGAUUAAAAAGUUUAAUAGUCAUACAUAAAUGUUAUGAAAAUUUAUAACAUAAAGCUUAAUGCCAUUUUCCCCAGAAAGUAAACAAACAAAUUAAAGAGACAGAAAUUAGGAGGUAAAAUAUAAGGACAUUUGAGAAUCAGUCAAAAAGAUACAACACCUGAAUAAUGGGAGCACGUCAAAGCCUACUGAGUGCCAGGCUCCUUAGUUUACAAAGAAAGGCUGGCCCAGUACGGUGGCUCACGCCUAUAAUCCCAGCACAGUGGGAGGCCAACGAGGGUGGAUCACUUGAGCCCAGGAAUUUGAGACCAGCCUGGGCAACAUGGCGAGGCCUCUGUCUCUACAAAAGUUUUUUUUUUUUUCUUUUUAUUAUACUUUAAGUUCUAGGGUACACGUGCACAACGUGCAGGUUUGUUACAUAUGUAUACAUGUGCCAUGUUGGUUUGCUGCACCCAUUAACUCGUCAUUUACAUUAGAUAUUUCUCCUAAUGCUAUCCCUCCCUCCUCCCCCUACCCCACGAAAGGCCCCGGUGUGUGAUGUUCCCCGACCUAGGUCCAGGUGUUCUCAUUGUUCAAUUCCCACCUAUGAGUGAGAACAUGCGGUGUUUGGUUUUCUGUCCUUGGGAUAGUUUGCUCAGAAUGAUGGUUUCCAGCUUCAUCCAUGUCCCUACAAAGGACAUGAACUCAUCCUUUUUUAUGGCUGCAUAGUAUUCCAUGGUGUAUAUGUGCCACAUUUCUUAAUCCAGUCUAUCAUUGAUGGACAUUUGGGUUGGUUCCAAGUCUUUGUUAUUGUGAAUAGUGCCACAAUAAACAUACACGUGCAUGUGUCUUUAUAGUA